CUCUCCCAAGACCAGGUGCAUUACAGAUUGGUGUGUGGGCUUUUGUGAAUUGGUUGCAUAUAAAUGAGGAACAUUUAAAUAAAAAGGAGAUCUAGAAACUUUCACUAGUUUGGGGCUUUUAUUUAUAGCUACUUAUGCACAAAGCCCAUUUCCCUUCCCAUGUGAGUUUGUGUCAUGUCAGUCUAACAGGCUUCUAGAAAAUACGGUUGACUUCAGUGUUCAGAUAGUGUGCACCAGACCUUCCUGUAGGUGAGAAUGCAGAGACUGGGGGAUACGAAAAGGAGCCUGAGGGGGAAACUGGUGUGGCAAAGGGUGGAAUUUGGUGGAAAGGGACUGGGCUGAGAAUCAAAAGCCUGUGAUUUAUCCCAGCUGAAGUUGGACGCUUCAGGUUCUUGGACAUAUUGAUUUGGACAUAUUCUGUAACCUUCCAGGACUAUCAGGUCCUCACCUUCAAAAUGAAGUGCUGGACUGAGAAAUGUUAAAACUACUUCUCAUUCUAGGAACUCAGAAGGUCAAGAACAGAGGAAGCCAUGGCUUUUGGAGUGGAGUAAGGUGUCCCCACCUGGCCUGGCCUGACAUCCCCAUUCAGCCAAGGAACACCAUCCUGUCCUGAAACAGGCUAUGUGUGUGUGUGUGUGUGUGUGUGUGUGUGUGUGUGUGUGUGUGCAUGUGCGUGUGAUAUCUCCCCCAGAACACAUUGGGUCCUGACCACACACAGCCCCUCUGCCACAUUGUCCCUCCCAGGCCACACAUUCUUACUUCACCCUCCCCACUCUGCUCAGAUAUUCACUGCUAGUGACAUCUUUCUAGCUCUGGGAACUACUCACAAGAGGGCUUUUUAACCCUGAUGUUCUGUUUGGGUCUUUUUCUCUUCCAAUCUAGGAGGAUUUGAGUGAGGGUCUGCCUUUGCUCGUGUCUCUCACUUCUGCAUGGACCAAGGUUCCUAGGUCAAGCUGCUGAAGAUGUCAAGGAAGCAAUGCCCAUGCAGUGAGCUCAUGGCAAGCGCUCAUCCAUCUGUGAGCUCUCUUCCCAUCUACACUGAUGCCUGCUCCCUGUGUCAGCACUUAGUAGGUAGAGCCAGCAGGCUGGUGACCCAGGGAAGACCGGAUGUUGCAGGUGAAGUCUGAAGGUCAUCAGCUGGCAGAAGUCCCUCUUGCUCAGGGGAGGAGUGAUGAAGCUCCACAGACACCAAGAAGCUCUGGGAAUGUUUAUCACAUGACUGAGGUCUCUUGGGAGAGCAGAGCUGACCCACUCAAGCAGGGACGUUGACAAGUCUGGACUGAAUCAAGAGAAUCAGCAUAAAUCUCAGCCGAUGCCUAAUUUUAGAGAUGUCUGAUCCUUGAAGGAGUCUUGCCACAGCCAGAUGGGGUGGGAGACAACAUUUGAGGGUGGAAACGCAGGAGGUGCCAAACUGAAGCUCCAAAGGUUAAACUCAUUUUUGUGGCUGAUAAAUCCUGAGCAAAAAUGAACUGGAUUGUGAGAAGAGUUAUGUAGUACAAGCCAGAGUCCCAGGGGAGGCUGCCGGAAGGCUUCAAGGACCACAGGUAUACGCUGUAAUUCCUUCAGAACUUGAACUCAUUCUUCCUCUGAGCUGUCCGAAACAAAAGAGCAGGUGACCGUGGGCCUCUCUGGGACUCCACUGCCUUUUGCGUUCAACACAGAAAUUCCCCUGUCCUCUGUCUGGCAGACCUCCAAGCCCUGCUUAGGUCCUGAUCACCAAGAAACUUCUAGACAGUUUCCAAAGAAAACCUUGUGUCCUGUUCUUCUCUGUCGUGCCUGCAUGUCCCAACACUCAGCACUUGGCAAGUGUUUGGUUAUGAUGGAAACUGAGCUGAACGGGAAGGAUCACACUGCUGAUCUCAGUGGUAAAUUACAGUGCUGAGCUUGGGUCGUUCUGAAUUCAACGCAUGGUGGCCAGUCUGAGGAAGGGCAUGUAAAUGUUGGUAUGGCCUUUGCACUCCCCAGAACAUUUGUCCUAGUGUACUUAUUAUCACCACUGUGAAGAUGAUGAGUGUAUUAUUCUGGCAGAAGAAAGAACAGGAGCAGAGAGACAAUCGGAAGCUCUUGAGUAACUGCUUAUUCAUUUAAGGGGGCGUGUUGCCAGGAACCCAAGAGUCUAGGAUCAGAUUAUAACGUUUGAAGUCUAAGACUGUGAUGGAUUUGGGAAGUGUUUCUCAAAGUUUUGUUCUCAGACCAUCUGCACCAGAAUCUUUUGCUAAAUGCAGAUUCCUGGGCCUUGGUCCUUGGACAUAUGGAAUCAGAAUCUCGGAGGGUGUUCCCGUUCCCAGGAGUCUACAUUUUAAGCAAAUUUCCCAGGUGUCUCUGACGUACAUUCUAGUUGGAUGAUCGUUAGCACAAAAAGUUAAAAAAUAAUUCUGAUGAGCUUCGAGACAGGGGAAUCCUAGCCCGAGCCACUGGGUCACGUGUAGAUCUGUUACUGUGCCAAGGCCAAGAAGUCUUUGAUCUGCGUCAACAUCCUGAGUGAGAUGCUUGUUGGCUGUGUGGCUAUUUCUCUAUUAUUUCCAUGACUAUGGAAUGGGAACAUUAGUGGCCUUUCCAUUGUAAAGAGUAGACAGAGCUACAAAGACAGCUCGGCACACAGAAGCUGCUCAAUAAGUGGCAGUUGAUAUUAUUGUUUUAUAGCAUCUAUCAGAAUGAGCGGAUUCCAGGACCAGUGGGCACUGACCUGAAGGGGUGAAGCGGGAGCAUUUCCUCGUACGAUUUCUUAUUGGAUCAGGAUGGUUGAGCAUCAAGUGUGCAGAGCAGGGAGGAAGCGAACUUCUUUGAGAAUAUUCCAGGACUCAAACAGAGCAUUUCUCAAAGUACGCUUCCUGUCCUCACAUCUGCACCAGAAAGAUUGCUGCCAAUGUUCCUCCUUAAAGAACAUCCAUUCUUUUCUAAUUUUCAUUUGUUCUUAAGUUUAAAAAAAAACAUUUCCAUUAUAAAAUUUUUGAACUUUAUAUAAAAAUAGAUGAGUAUACUGAAACCCCUACCCCAUUGCCCAUUUCCAGUGAUUGUCAGUCUGUGUUAGCUGUUCUCCUCCGCUCCCCUCUGUGGAUUAAAUCCAAGCAAAUUCUAAUGUUAUAUUCUUUCAUCCAUAAACAUUUAAGCAUGUAACUCUAAAAUAGGGGACUUUUAUAUUAAAAAAAAGCAAUGGUAGUACCAUAAUCAAUCUAAAAAUUUAAUUUUGAUUUAGUAUCAAAUCCCUGUCAGUGUUCAUAUUUUUCUAAUUGUCUAGAAUUAUGAUUAGUUCAAUAGGGAAAGCAAUAUUCUAUUUGUGUCUUACUUUGUUAAUUAAUAAUUAUCUAAAAUACAACUACAAAAAGAAGCUUUGCUUGUCUAUUUGGCUUCCUUUUGUCUAUCUGAUCUAUUUUCAACUAUUUUCUUACCUAGAUGUACAGUUCAUAGAGCAAUAGCAAUAGCAGUAUGAAUGCUUGGGUUUUUUUCUAUUUGUUAGUUUUCAGAAUAGUUGGUCUUUUAGUUUUGGGCAAAGAUGAAUUAUUUUGUUUAAAAUACGCUGUGCUUUGACUCAUUGUAAUUAUGUUCUGAUUGUGCCAUGCUUGGUCAGUGAGAGCCUCUUCAUUUUGUAUUUUGUACCUUUUAACAUAAUGUAGCUUUGAUAAUUUCCUGCUUUCUACUAUUACUGAAUAUUUUAUCCCUGUCUUGUACAGUUUUUCUUCAGACUAGAGAUCACCUAUUCUUCCCAGAACAUGAUGUGUAGUGACCACGAUCUGGUACUAAGAAUGCUCAUUGCUGCUAUAUUGAUUGUUACUUCUAGGCUUUCAGAAAAUAAAACUAGAAAAUAAAUCCUUU